AAAGAUGUCGACCAGGAGGCAGCCAGGAGAAGAGGGGACAGAGUCUGGAGGAGUCCCUGACACUAGAUGGGGCUUAGCUGGUUAUAAGGACUGAAAGACCACCAGUGUGUGAGGAACAAAGAGAGGCAGGGAAGAACAGGUCAGGGUGAGAGCAGAGAGGCAGGUGGUGGUCAGAGAGUCAGGAUACAAACAUUCACAGAGAGGCAGAACACUGUGGCCUUGGCAUCUAGGAGCAUGGCCACUGGAGUUCCAGGGUUCAAACCCUGCCUCAGCCACUUACAAGCUCUGUGACUUUAGGCUUCAGAAUGCUUUAGUCCCUGUGCUUCAGUGUCCCCAUCUCUAAACUGGAGAUGAUGAUAACGCUACCUACCUCCAGGAGUUUUUGUGAAGAUUAAAUUAAAUUAGUUAAUUCACAUAAACCACUCAGAAGAGUGCCUGGAACACGUUAAGUAGUAUAUAGACAUUUGCUGUCACUGUUAUUACGUGCUGGGCAUUAGUUCAGCCUCCUCAUCUGCACAAUAGGAAUAAGACUGCAUCCAACUUGGAAGAUGAUGGUGAAGGGUAGAUGAGAAGCACAGGUGGGAUACUUACAACACUACCUGAUAGGCGGGAAACAGGCAAAACAAGUUUACCGUCACCAUGGUUUUAUCUUUAAUCCUUUGCAGGUGAGGCAGAGGAUACGGCACUUCUUGGAACAAAUUUGCAAACAACUAGCUAUCCAGAAGUGGGAGGGGGUCUGUCAGGGAAGCACCCCCUCAUUGCAGGUAUGCAAGCGCAGGGCUGGACAGGGCACUCAAGCAGGGCAGCCGGAUGAGGGGCCCUCGCAGUCUCAGAAUCCAUGAUUCUACCUGUCUCUACCCUCUAUUUCUGCCCAUCUCUAUAAAUGUUCAUAAACACGUCCUGGAGGCUCUCCCCCAGACAGUAUUCCUCUCCUGCCUGUUCUCCUGCUGGAGCAAAGAGGUAUCAAAGCAAGAUAGCUCCUGUGCCCCAGGAGCUGACAAUGCCUGUAAAGAGCAUGUCAUUCAAGGGCAUACAGCAGUCCCCUCAGGUUGGCGCCCCAGCCUUCCCGCCCUCACAGAAUAAGGAGCACCAGCGGCCCCACCGCAUCAGUCAAGGUCACAGUGAAGCUGACGACCAACUUUCCAGGGAGGCACCUCUGAAGAAAAAGACUGAGAUCCAGCUCAGGACCCCCAGGGUCUCCGGAAGCAUCCAGCUGCUCCUCUCUUCCUCUGUCCUUGGGUGCAGUUAAUCGGGGCCCUCUAAAAAUAGCAGUGGUGAUUCAGGGAAAUACACGGUGCUCUAUCUCUGGGGAUGCCGGCACAGGCCUCCUUCAAAAAUAGAACCUCAAUCAGGUGCGCUUCCUAACUCCUUGUCUCUCUGUCUAGUCCCAAAAUUCUUCCGAAGGAUCCAGAGACAGGGCAGCAUCUCCAAAUGCUGGGAGAGCUAGAGCAGGGGUUCUCGCUUGGGUUUGUCUCCUUCCAAAUCCCUUGUCUGUUGGUUUCCACUUAAAAAAAUCCAUUUUCCUUUGAUUUAAAAAGUAAAAUAUAUUUAUUUUAGGUAUUAUAAAAAAACAUCAAAAGGUAUCUCACGUCUAGAAAUAACCACUGUUUUGAGUUUAUUCUUCCUCUCUCCUCCCCCCUCUAUAUAUCACACCACACACACACACACACACACACACACACAUGCACACUUAUUUAUAGAAUUGGGAUAGUGCAUUUUAUAUAUUUUUUUCACUGAAUAUCACAUCAAAAGUAUUUUGCUAUGUCAUUAAAUAUUCACCUACAACACAGUGUUUUAAUGUGAGUACAGUACAGAGGUUUAGCACAUAAGCUUUGCUUCAGAAAGAUCUGGGUUUACGUCCUGGCUCUGUCACUUACAGGUGUUGUGGCCAUGGGCAGUUACUCAAACUCUUUAAGCCUCAGUUUUCACAUUUAUGAAAUGGGGCCAAUGACAGUACCCAUCUCAGGUUGUUAGGAAGAUAAAGUACGGUACUUUCCUGAUUACUGCUCAGUAAAUGCCUGUAGUAAUAAUAAUAACAGCAGCAAUAAUAAACGCUAUUGAACUAUAAUUAAGUUCAACUGUAAUGAAGAUUCUCCGGUUGAUCGAUAUUUAGCUUGUUUCCGAAGCCCAUGUUCUCCCACCACUCCGCCCAUGUCUGGGAAGUUCUGGAAUUCAGAGAGCGGGCUAUGAUGGCAGCACCCUGGUUGCAGACCCUGCGGAUUAGCAGUACAUUCGCCGGUGAAUGGAGAGUGGGGGGUGCAAGUUUGCCAAGCCUCGCACAUGUGGGCUCCCACGGAUCUGUCUCUCACCUCCCCCAGGAAGCCUCGCAGAGCGCUGGGAUGCUGCAACAGGCCAGGCUCCCCUUAGACCCCCUCCUCUGGCGUGAGGUGAGGCCCUAUGCCUCCAGCCUAUAGUGAUACUUGGACAAGGGGCCUCCUCCUCCAAUUCUCAGCCAGAUUCCAUCCUGAUCAUCUUUAUUCUCCAAUUUUCUAGGAAGUUGAAACAUCUUUUUUUUCCCUAUUUGGCUCCUUUCACUGUGCCUGGAGGGAUUACAAGCUGGACCCUGAUGAAGAAACCAAGGCUCAGAAAGUGGCCCUGUGAGGUGGAAAGAAUACUUUUACUCCCGUCUGGUUGGAGGGAAUCAACGAGAGGCUAGGCCACAGCCAUACAAUUUCAGCCGAAACAAUGAGUUGACUUGUGUCCUGUGGCAUCAGCUGACUCCUCAUCCAUGAUGUUGGAAGAAGGCCAGCUGGAAUCCCAUCACAGCUAGUGUCUCCCUCCAGAACAUGCCAUAGCUGCCACAUCAGUGCUGAAAGGGGCCUUGGGGAUUUAGCACCAGAGCAAAUCUGGCCCAGAGAUGGCAAGGGUCACCCAAGGUCACACAUCAGAGUGAUGCAGGCCAAGCCUUCCAGGCUUACUCCUCAUCACUGUGUGGCCAUACUUGGUGCCCAUGUGGGACAUGGGAAUCCAGCAAAACCACUUGGGCAACUUCUAUUUUCAUCCCACCUUUCUCUGGCUCAGCUGGCACAUGGAUGCCUUUCAAUUCUGGGCUGAUCAUUCUUGACAGAAUGUUUCAAAGUCAAGGCAGGGGCAGGAGAGGACAAAGCUGUUGCUCCAGGCACAAACACAGCCUCUGAACUUGGUGCCUGUCAUUGUAAUUUCUGUGCACACUGGGGGAUUAUUCUGCCUUGAAAUACUUCUACCAUGGGCAUUACAAGUGACUCAUAGUCUGGUAGCCUCAACACUCAAGAGUCACCCAGGAGAGACACCCAUCAGACCUGGUUUAAUCAGUCCUAGUAGGAAGUAUGUUUGAAGGACAGGCUCUAUUAUGCCCCACACAGCUUUGCGAACUUAGGGAAUAAGGCCAUGCUACAGAAGGUCUGUAGGAAGGAGCUUUCCUUCUAACUGGUGCAGCAGAGCCCAUCACAGGGUUCAAGAACAUGAGCAACUCCAGAAGCAGGACACUGGACAACACAGAGACUAUGAGCUUAGCUGGAAGAUGGCAGCUGGGAAGUUUGGACUUGGCUACUUGCUGUCCUAUAAUCUUGUGGGUAGGGCCAAAAAUUUGCAUUUCUAAUAGCAAUAUGGAUGCUGGUGGUCCAGGGACCACACUUUGAGAACCACAGGCAAUAGUAACCUGCCUUGUCUUCCUCAUGGGGUUCUAGUGAUGGCUCGUUUGGAAGACCUGUGUGCUAGUGCAGUUCUGCCAUUUGGUGUGUAGGAGCCUCGGAUCAUCACUUACCAUCUCUGAGUCUCAGGUUUCCUAUCUGCAAAAUGAGAAUAACAAAUACUGUUUGUAUUGCAGAAUGGUGAGAGUCAAAGAGAGAAACAAAUAAGGCAAAAGAAUUUUAAAAAUUGUAGAGACUAUUCAAAUGUAAAGAGGAGCAAACAUUUUUGGGGCUCCUCCGUGAGUCAGAAGCUCUGUUAGAUGUCAGGAUAUGAACUUGAAUAAACCAGAAUUCCUGACCUUAGAGAAUCCAGGGGGGACUGGGGAAGGCAGAUAAAUGGACCACUGAUAUAGCCUGUGCUCCAGCAGAGCAGCACAGUAAGCUGCAGAAGGAUGGAGAAGAGGUGGGGCAAGUGGCUUAAACUGGACUUUAUCCUCAGGACAAAGGGAAACCUUUGUAGAGUUUUAAGGUGGAAAGUGACUGAUCUUAUUUGUUUUAUGGGAAGAUCAUUGUGGGCUGGGAAAUGGGUCAUUGGGAGGGGCAAGGCUAGAGGCAGAGAGGCAGGGAGUCAGCAAAGAGGCUGCUGCAGUGAUCCAGGGGUGAGAUAAUGGAGAGAAGUGGAUGCAUUUGAGAGAUAAGAUGUGUGGAACAAAGGCGGCAGCAGAACCAAGAUGGCGCCGGGUUUCUUGUUCACAGACUAAGAUAGGGAGGACCGGGAAGUGGGUUGGGGUGGAGAUGAGGAGCCAGUACCUGGCCAUGGCACUGCCAUGAAUAGAUACCUUAGCCCGUGAGCCACUGCCACUCUGACUGCCAGGUCUCCCCCACUGUGAGGGACUUUCUCCUGUCUUCCCUCCCCACGUCCUGGCAUUACUGAGCUCUGCUGUUCCCUGCCGCUGCAACGUGCAGCUGUGUCCUUCCCAUCCACAGAGUCAUCUCCAAAAUGAACAACAAAAGCGAUCAGCAAGCAAUCAUCUUUCUUUUCCCCUAUACAAUGCCUGGGUAUGCAGAUAAUGUUUGUGAUUGUUGCAGAAACGAUGGCAUGAAAAUUGGGGCUCCUGCCAAAAAAAGGAGGAAAAAAACCUAUUUAAAUAAACUCAAGUGGUUCAGACCCAGUUUGAGGCCUCCUAAACUGGGGCCCGAUAAGGUUCUCGUCCCUCUGCCCUCCAUGAGGUGGCGAGGUGCUUUGUAGGACCCUGGCAGGUUGGGACAGCCCACAGUGGCAGCCCCUGGAGGCUCAGGGAAUGACCUCAGGGAAGUGUUCUGGCAUCUGCUGUGAGCUUUGGGCAUUAAUGAAGGGCAGUUUUCUGGGCCUUCCACUCACAGCUUAGCUCCCAGCCAGCUGAGAGGAGGUGCUCACUGAGGUUCUGGGUGACUUUGAGACCAUCCCAGGCAGAAAGGCCGUGGACUAGAGGAGGCCCAUAAUGAUAAGCUGUCACUGUUGCUUUGUUUCAAGGAAAGCUGCCUGCAUCCCACACUGUGCUAUGAAGUUUACAGCCUAUUGUUUUAUUUAAUCCAUCCUCACAAUUGUCCUGAAAAGUGGGCAUUACUAAUCCCAUUUUACAGAGAAAGAAAAUGGAGGGAAACGUUGAUUAUGAUUUCACAGCUAGUAAACAGCAAAACUGGGAUUCUAGCCUGGGUUGCUGGAUUCAAAAAAGCCCGUGAUUGCACUCUAUUCAAAAAGGCAGAUAAUAAUAAGUAUUGACAAAGAGGUGGAGAAAUUGGAGCUCUCAAACACUGCCAGUGGGAAUGUAAGAUGCUACAGGCCCUUGAAAACAGUCUUGGCAGUUCGUCAAAUGGUUAAACAGAGUUACCAUACGAUCCAGCAACUCCUCACCUGUGUAUAUUCCCAAGAGAAAUGAAAAGAUAUAUCCACACGAAAAUUAGUGCUUCAACGUUCAGAGGAGCAUUAUUCAUAGUAGUAAAAAUGUGAAAACCCAAAUGUCCAUCAACUAAUGAAUGGAUAAAUAAAAUGUGGUAUUCUCAAUAGAAUAUUAUUUGGCAAUAAAAAGAAGUGAAAUACUGAUCCGUGCUACAACAUGCAUAAACUUUGACAACUUUAUGCUAAGUGAGUAAAGCUAGUUACAAAAGACCACAUAUUGUAUGAUUCCAUUUACACGAAUGUCUAGACGAGGAAAAUCCAUAGAGACAGAAGGUAGAUUACUGGUUGCCUAAGGCUGGGGUGCUGGGGAGAAAUCUAGAGUGACAGUAACGGGUAUGGCUAUUUUGGGGGGGAUGAUGAAAAUGGUCUGAAAUUGAUUGUAGUGAUGGUUGCACAAUUCUGUGAAUAGACUAAAAAGCAUUGAAUCCUACACUUAAAAUGGGUGAGUUGUAUAUGAAAUGUGAAUUAUAUCUCAAGAAAGAUGUCAUUUUUUAAAAGCCCCUGACUGAACAUUUAAAAAGAAAGAAAGGAGGAAAAAGAAAAUAACCAUGAUCUUCCCAAGUGAAAGCAUCUAGAGUUAUUAUUUUCAAUCAUUCAACAAAUCUUGAACCCCUGUUAUGUGCUAUGCACAUUCCUCUGGGAGCUUGUGAGUAGGAGAUCCUAGUCUGGGUGGAAGAGGCAGGAUGUGGGCACAGAUAAUCAUGAUUCAUGGAAGAAGCAGCCAAGGGAAUGUAAACAGGAGGAUACUAUUUCACACU